UUACGGCCACAUCACGUUGACACACCGGUUCCCGUACGAUCACCGAAGUUAAGCAACGUCAGUACCUAGAUGGGUGACCGCUUGGGAAUACCAGGUUUCUGUAA